AGAACCUAUGCAAGCAAUUUAGGAUGAAUUUCCAUAAAGGCUAACCCAAAAGUUUUCUAGUCAACCGAAGGUUAGCUGGUAGUCAACCAGAAACUUGAAUAAGAGUACAACUACACAUUCAGGACUUACCAGUAGCAGUUUGGCCUUCUUUGAAUAUACCACCACCACACUGACUAAAAUUACAACAGUUACCAUGUCAAAGGCAUGCAAAUUUAAAAGAUGAUCAAUGAUCCCACUGUGUUCUUCCUUAACAAAUCACCUGU